UUUAUAGUUUACUAAAUGUUCCCCUGUAGUCAUCAUCUUAUUUGAGCCAUACAACAACCUACUAAGGUAGGUAAGUUUGUUCCCAUUUUUCACAGGAAAGCCUGACUCAGCUGUACACCUUGGCUCACAAAGCUGGAUUGACUGCCUGGACAGGAAAUGAUUUAUCACAACCAGAUAAAACCAGUCAGCACAAUUCAAACACCUGGGCAAUUUUGCCUUAUCUUCCUAGGCUUAGGGAGAAAGCUCUCAUAGAUAAGACUCCUAUAAAACUCGGCUGGAAAACAGAGUUGACCUCGAUGGAAUCAAGCCCUCACAAUGUAGACUUCAAUAUCUUAAGAUAAUAAAUUUAAAAAAAGAGUCAGUAUU